rnacentral:rRNA from 1 species
CGCAUCUGUGCAUGCAGCAUAUCAAUAAGCGGAGGAAAAGAAACUAACAAGGAUUCCCCUAGUAACGGCGAGUGAAGCGGGAAGAGCUCAAAUUUGAAAUCUUAAAGGGUUUCCCUUUACGAAUUGUAGUUUAAAGAAGUGUUUUCUGUUGAGGUUUUGGUAAAAGUUCUUUGGAAUAGGACAUCAUAGAGGGUGAGAAUCCCGUAUUUGACCUUUACUUUCAACUUUGUGAUACACUUUCAAAGAGUCGGAUUGUUUGGGAAUGCAGUCCAAAAUGGGUGGUAAAUUUCAUCUAUAGCUAAAUAUUGGCGAGAGACCGAUAGCGAACAAGUACCGUGAGGGAAAGAUGAAAAGGACUUUGAAAAGAGAGUUAAACAGUACGUGAAAUUGUCAAAAGGGAAGCGUUUGACACCAGUGUUGUUUUUCUGAAAAUCAAUUAAAGAACUGUUUAUGCUAAGUUGUUUAGACUUUAUCAGCUAACUGUUUAGUUUUGAGCUUUUCUUUAAUGCACUUUUCAGUUAACAAGUCAACAUCAAUUUCUUUUGCUGUAAAAAAGCUUGAGGAAGGUGGCUUGAGAUUCGUCUUAAGUGUUUAUAGCCUCUUGCCUAUGCAGUCGGAGAGAUUGAGGUCUGCAGCGUAGAUCCUUCGGGGCUAAAUGCAUUUGUGCUAAGUUAUAGCAUUUUAUAGACAACUUGUUGACUAUGAUUUGUCUUGUAGCUUACUCGCUUAUGUUAUUUUACCUACGCUUAGGAUGUUGACAGCAGUAUAGACUGU